GUGCGCACUUCAGCAGCACAUAUACUAAAAUUGGAAUAAUACAGAGAAGACUAGCAUGCCCCCUGCACAAGGAUGAUUCAUGAAGUGUUAAAAAAAAAAAAAAACAAAU
rnacentral:snRNA from 1 species